rnacentral:misc_RNA from 1 species
GAUGAAGAACGUAGUGAAAUGCGAUAAGUAAUGUGAAUUGCAGAAUUCAGUGAAUCAUCGAAUCUUUGAACGCACAUUGCGCCCCUUGGUAUUCCGAGGGGCAUGCCUGCUCGAGCGUCAUUAUAACCCCUCAAGCUCAGCUUGGUGUUGGGGCCUGCUGCACUGGCAGCCCUUAAAAUCAGUGGCGGCGCCAUCUGGCUCUAAGCGUAGUAAUUCUUCUCGCUAUGGAGUCCUGGUGGAUGCUUGCCAUCAACCCCCAAUUUUUCUAUGGUUGACCUCGGAUCAGGUAGGGAUACCCGCUGAACUUAAGCAUAUCAAUAAGCGGAGGA